rnacentral:lncRNA from 1 species
AAGCUCUUUCCCGCUGUUCUUACAGCCUCAGCCCUCGCAGGUUCGGAAGGGGGACAUGAAGCCCUCACUGAGUGCGGGCAGGCAGGUGGGAAACCUCUGGCAGGAAUUGCUGCUCGGCUCAGCUUGCUUUCUGUCGCCGUGUCUCUCACCCCCGUUUUCGUUCGCUUCCAGGCCGCAGCACUGAGGCGGGAGGUAGCUCCACAUUUCCCCUUCUAGAAGCUGUUGAAAUGCAAUUGCGAGUUUGUGCAUCGCGUUUCCAAGGGGACGGCCCCGCGCAGCGCGGACAGCCGCGCGCAGCUGAAUCCUGCUGGGUUCAGCGCCGCACUGUCAGUACCACGCAGUUAUUUCUGAAAAGCCCGCGGCGUUGUGCUGCUUUUUACGCGGUGAUCGCGGUGUUUCUUAAUCUUUCCAUGUGUGCUGUAUAACUUUUGAGGUACUUUGCGCACAGACAAUAGCUUUAAUUCUUUUCUUCCCUGAGAAAUAUGCAGGCAAAAAUACGGUCUGCCUGUCUUUCAGCAAAGGUUCAGACCUCUCUUUGCAUGCCUCUGGGUUAGCUUCGUGCUUCCAUUUGCUUCUUUCUCAUCAGGACUCUGCAUCCUGCAGUGAAGCCACAGAAACAGUAAUGCUGUCUCAGGCUCUAUCAGAGCAGGAACUGAGAUCUGAGUUGUGGAGCAGCCUGGAGGUUGGGGGCUGCUUUGCCUAGAUGGCAGAAAUCUCUGAGGCUGCUGCAUUUUGUGUCUCGUGUAAAUUCAAUUUAAUAUAUGCAGUUGUUAAAUUAUUUUCUGGACGUGAAUAAUUGGAUAAUUCUUGUAUUGCAUUUUUGUUAUGCUUUAAGAUGCCACGCUCAGAUGGAGCACCUUCCAAUAAAAAGACUUUGAGAAGUUCGUUUCUUCCCAUUGUUUUGCCUUCAGCGGUUGUAUCAGAAACGUCACCAUUACAGAAUAAGCUGCUGACGUACCGAAGAUGCAAAGAACAGCAAACAAUGCUUAAUCAGUUACUAAUUGAUCGAGCUUUAGAAGUCUAUUCUGAAUCCAUGGAGGAGGAAUAUCACAGAGGUUCUGCACCUCCAAUCCCAGAACUAGCUGCCGCUGUAAGCACGUAUUUCUUUAGUAUUGUCACUACUGCUUAUUUUGUGCUUUACUAUUGGGACAUUUAUGCUUUUAUUCUUAAUAUUCACUUAAAGAUACUUGUGUCCGUUCUUAAUAAUUCAUAAAUGGAUUUAUAUUCUCAAGUAGUC